rnacentral:rRNA from 1 species
UACGGGGGGGGCAAGCGUUGUUCGGAAUUACUGGGCGUAAGGGGCUCGUAGGCGGCCAACUAAGUCAGACGUGAAAUCCCUCGGCUUAACCGGGGAACUGCGUCUGAUACUGGAUGGCUUGAGUGUGGGAGAGGGAUGCGGAAUUCCAGGUGUAGCGGUGAAAUGCGUAGAUAUCUGGAGGAACACCGGUGGCGAAGGCGGCAUCCUGGACCACGACUGACGCUGAGGAGCGAAAGCCAGGGGAGCAAACGGG